rnacentral:rRNA from 1 species
GGUGAACGCUGGCGGCGUGCUUAAGACAUGCAAGUCGAACGCAGUCUUCGGACUGAGUGGCGCACGGGUGAGUAACACGUAACUGACCUACCCCCAAGUCGCGAAUAACCAGCCGAAAGGAUGGCUAAUACGUGAUGUGAUGAUCCGCUGUGGCGGAUCAUUAAAGACUUGAUCGCUUGGGGAUGGGGUUGCGUUCCAUCAGCUAGUUGGGAAGGUAAAGGCUUACCAAGGCAACGACGGAUAGCCGGCCUGAGAGGGUGGCCGGCCACAGGGGCGCUGAGACACGGGUCCCACUCCUAGGGGAGGCAGCCGUUAGGAAUCUUCCGCAAUGGGCGCCAGCCUGAUGGAGCGACUCGGCGUGAGGGAUGAAGGUUCUCGGAUCGUAAACCUCUGAACCAACGACGAAAGACCCGACAAGGGAGAUGACGGUAGUUGGGUAAUAGCACCGGCUAACUCCGUGCCAGCCGCCGCCGUAAGAC